rnacentral:rRNA from 1 species
CAGCAGCCGCGGUAAGACGAACCGUGCGAACGUUAUUCGGAAUCACUGGGCUUAAAGCGCGUGUAGGCGGAUGGGAGCGUCGGCCUCUGAAAUCCCCCGGCUCAACCGGGGAAGUGGAGCCGAAACGACCCGUCUGGAGGGACGUAGGGAGACCUGGAACUUCCGGUGGAGCGGUGAAAUGCGUUGAGAUCGGAAGGAACGCCCGUGGCGAAAGCGAGGUCCUGGACGUCUGCUGACGCUGAGACGCGAAAGCCAGGGGAGCGAACGGGAUUAGAUACCCCGGUAGUCCCUGUCCUCUUAU